rnacentral:miRNA from 1 species
UGGGUUACGGGGCUUAGUCCUU